GAUGAACGCUGGCGGCGUGCCUAAUACAUGCAAGUCGAGCGAACAGACGAGGAGCUUGCUCCUCUGACGUUAGCGGCGGACGGGUGAGUAACACGUGGAUAACCUACCUAUAAGACUGGGAUAACUUCGGGAAACCGGAGCUAAUACCGGAUAAUAUAUUGAACCGCAUGGUUCAAUAGUGAAAGACGGUUUUGCUGUCACUUAUAGAUGGAUCCGCGCCGCAUUAGCUAGUUGGUAAGGUAACGGCUUGCCAGGGCAACGAUGCGUAGCCGACCUGAGGGGGGGUAGGCCCACUGUGAACGUGACCCGCGACCCUGCGACUUAGGUACGGCGCAGACGCGGACUGGUCGCAACUGGGGGAAAUCUUGCAGAAUGAGCGCAAGCUGGGUGCUGAAGCGCUGCGGGCGGUAAAACGCCCUUCUUGGGGAAAACCAAUGUGUAAGUAACUAUGCACGUCUUGACGGUAACUAAUAAGAAAGCCACGGCUAACUACGUG
rnacentral:rRNA from 1 species